rnacentral:rRNA from 1 species
AUUGAACGCUGGCGGCAGGCUUAACACAUGCAAGUCGAGCGGGGUGAUGGUGCUUGCACUAUCACUUAGCGGCGGACGGGUGAGUAAUGCUUAGGAAUCUGCCUAUUAGUGGGGGACAACAUCUCGAAAGGGAUGCUAAUACCGCAUACGUCCUACGGGAGAAAGCAGGGGAUCACUCGUGACCUUGCGCUAAUAGAUGAGCCUAAGUCGGAUUAGCUAGUUGGUGGGGUAAAGGCCUACCAAGGCGACGAUCUGUAGCGGGUCUGAGAGGAUGAUCCGCCACACUGGGACUGAGACACGGCCCAGACUCCUACGGGAGGCAGCAGUGGGGAAUAUUGGACAAUGGGGGGAACCCUGAUCCAGCCAUGCCGCGUGUGUGAAGAAGGCCUUAUGGUUGUAAAGCACUUUAAGCGAGGAGGAGGCUCUUUUGGUUAAUACCCAAGAUGAGUGGACGUUACUCGCAGAAUAAGCACCGGCUAACUCUGUGCCAGCCGCCGCUGUAA